rnacentral:rRNA from 1 species
AUCCUAAGGAAAGGAAAAUUUAUCUUAGGUUUCCUCUGCCCGGUGAGGAAAACAAGAGAAAUUGUUUUCCUUAAACGGCCGCAGUACCCUGACUGUGCUAAGGUAGCAUAAUAACUUGGCUUUUAAUUGAGGUCUAGGAUGAAAGAGGGUAAUUAUGGGUAAUAACUGUCUUUUAUUGGAUAAAACUGAAUUUGCUUAAAGGGUGAAAAUUCCCUUAAAAAGAAAAAAGACGAGAAGACCCUUAGAAUUUUAAAUCGAUCUUAUAAGGUAAUUUAAUUUAUGGGCAGAUUUUUUGUUGGGGCGACAGUAUAUUAAUCAAAAAUAACGUUGAUUUAGAUAAAUAUUAGGACAAGCCAAGCUUAGUAAUUUUAAUAGUUUUUGCUUAGGAAGAAAAAAUUACCUAAGGGAUAACAGCAUAAUUUAUUUUUAAGAUUAUGACCUCGAUGUUGGACUAGGAAACAAAUAACUAGAAGUUAACAAGUAAUGUUCUGUUCGAACAGGAAAUAAUUCCU